GUUUUAAUAGUUUAAAUAAAACAUUGGUCUUGUAAAUCAAAAUUGAAUAAUAAUUCUUAAAACU
rnacentral:tRNA from 1 species